GGCGAGUGAAGCGGUAAUAGCUCAAAUUUGAAAUCUGGCUCUAGGGUCCGAGUUGUAAUUUGUAGAGGAUGUUUCGGGUGCGCCCGCAGUUUAAGUUCCUUGGAACAGGACGUCAUAGAGGGUGAGAAUCCCGUCUUGAACUGUACGGCAAGUCCAUGUGAAACUCCUUCGACGAGUCGAGUUGUUUGGGAAUGCAGCUCAAAAUGGGAGGUAAAUUUCUUCUAAAGCUAAAUAUUGGCCAGAGACCGAUAGCGCACAAGUAGAGUGAUCGAAAGAUGAAAAGCACUUUGAAAAGAGAGUUAAACAGUAUGUGAAAUUGUUAAAAGGGAAGCGUUUGCAACCAGACUUGUUUCUAACAGUUCUACCGCAGUUCUCUGUGGCUUAUUCUGUUAGUCCAGGCCAGCAUCAGUUUGGGUGGCUCGUUAAAGACUUUGGGAAUGUAUCUACUCCUUCGGGUGUAGACUUAUAGCCCAUUGUGUAAUAGGGUCUACCUGGACUGAGGUACGCGCAUUGCUC
rnacentral:rRNA from 1 species